GCUUCUUGCACCUCCUUAAUCACCUGGGCUGAGUCAGUGCACCCGAACAUGGGCAGCUUCCACAUGGUCCAGUACCUUCCGUCGUAGUAUCCUGGCGAUCUGUUGUGCUCUCUGUGGGGGUAUGGGUACUGCAUUCACAUACAAAAUAAUAAUCCAAUUAUUCUACAAAUUAAACCUCUAUAAUCCUAGUUUAAAAGCUUCACAGAAAAGUUCAUGAAAAUAACCAGCUUGGUGAAUUCCAAGCAAGGAAUCCAUUUCAUGCGGAGAAGGUAAUCCACUUCCUUGCAUAGCUGUUCGUCGUUGAGGGGUGGGAGGUAUGAGAGAGUCUCGAACUUCAUCAACCCUUCUGUAGGCCAAACCUGUGGUUUUCACAUGUACAAUAUCCACAGUUUAAUUCAUCAUAUAUAAAAAAAUAAAAAAUAAAAAAAACCCAGACUACUAAUGUCUUCUAAUUGAAGUGAAGUUGUGACUUGUGAGGCAGGGUGGUGGCAGUACCUUCAUGCAGCGAACUCGGCCACCAUUGCUAGCGACGGAGGUGAUGUCGGUGUUGGCUUUUCGGGUGCCAGGGAAAGUCGACAAAGAUUUGAGUCCGGUGAAGGGGGCCACCAUGUUGGCCUGAGCCGGGGUAGCACGGUUGAUUGUAGCCACGGUGGCGGAGGAGACCAUGGAGGAAGCCAUUUUCGCCUUUUGGGUUUUGCUAACACCACCACUGCCUU
rnacentral:lncRNA from 1 species